UGGGGAGAAACCUCUCCCUGCGGGCUGU
rnacentral:sRNA from 1 species